rnacentral:rRNA from 1 species
AGCGAACGCUGGCGGCAGGCCUAACACAUGCAAGUCGAACGAACCUUUCGGGGUUAGUGGCGGACGGGUGAGUAACACGUGGGAACGUGCCUUUAGGUUCGGAAUAACUCAGGGAAACUUGUGCUAAUACCGAAUGUGCCCUUCGGGGGAAAGAUUAAUCGCCUUUAGAGCGGCCCGCGUCUGAUUAGCUAGUUGGUUGAGGUAAUGGCUCACCAAGGCGACGAUCAGUAGCUGGUCUGAGAGGAUGAUCAGCCACAUUGGGACUGAGACACGGCCCAAACUCCUACGGGAGGCAGCAGUGGGGAAUCUUGCGCAAUGGGCGAAAGCCUGACGCAGCCAUGCCGCGUGAAUGAUGAAGGUCUUAGGAUUGUAGAAUUCUUUCACCGGGGACGAUAAUGACGGUACCCGGAGAAGAAGCCCCGGCUAACUUCGUG